CCAAGCAUUGCAUCUUCUUCCUGAGCGUUUGAACAUAUAGACCAAAAAAUGGCCUGCUCAUCUUGAACUUUCAGCCGUUGCAUACAAUAGAGAGGGCUUCUUUAUUCUUCUUGAAGAAAAUAAUCACAAAAGCCAUAUGAGAACAUAGAGCUUCACCGUUCCGUCUUUUUCUCCGGCGAAGAGCCUCAUUCUCUCCUCUAUCAGCGUCGUCGCAUCACCGGCGAACCAGACGGCCUUCUCCCCAAAAACGCCCUGAAACUACACCAAAUCGCUAUGAAAUUCAGCUCGAGAUCGUCGUCCAACUCAUUCGAUUUAAAUAGCUCGAGGUUCUGUUACCGGUUCGAGGUUCAUCUCAUUAGCUCUUUUUAGAUCUGCUGCAUUAGAGGUUUUAUUUGUUCACUGUAUAUAUUGAAGAAUAUGCAGCAGUAAAAGAGUUCUACGGUGUUCAAACAAUGGAGAAUGGGUUAUUGUAAAUCCAGUUUUUGUAUGUUAUUUGUGUCAUUUAUCAGACCAAACUGAGGUACUAUUUCUCGUUUUGGUUUGUGAUUAACUCAUAGCUUCCUACGCUGAUCAUCCAUGUUUGAUAUUUUGCUAUUGGG
rnacentral:lncRNA from 1 species